AGUGAAAUUUCUAGGUCAUAUUGUACCUCUCCAUACUUUGUGAGAAUCUGCCAAGCCAUUCUCAAAAGUGGCUGCACCAUUUUACAAACCCACCAGCAAU
rnacentral:pre_miRNA from 1 species